GGGCCCGCACAAGCGGUGGAGCAUGUGGUUUAAUUCGAUGAUACGCGAGGAACCUUACCAGGGCUUAAAUGCAGAGCGACAGAGGUGGAAACACCUCCUUCUUCGGACGGUCUGCAAGGUGCUGCAUGGUUGUCGUCAGCUCGUGCUGUGAAGUGUCGGGUUAAGUCCCAUAACGAGCGCAACCCCUAUUUCUAGUUGCCAGCGGUUCGGCCGGGGACUCUAGAGAAACUGCCAGCGUAAGCUGUGAGGAAGGUGGGGAUGACGUCAAAUCAUCACGGCCCUUACGUCCUGGGCCACACACGUGCUACAAUGGUAAGGACAGAGAGUUGCCAACCCGCGAGGGUGAGCUAAUCUUUAAACCUUAUCUCAGUUCGGAUCGAAGUCUGCAACUCGACUUCGUGAAGUUGGAAUCGCUAGUAAUCGCAGAUC
rnacentral:rRNA from 1 species